rnacentral:lncRNA from 1 species
CUCAGGCUCCUGGGGCUUGUGCCCAAACUUGGCUCAGUGGAGUCAUUUUGGGGGCUCAGCUGAGGGUCAUUUUAAGGGAACAGCUGCUGUUACCUGGGGGAAGACAGAUACUGUUUAUGAUGCUGCACUCCAACUUUUGUUUUGCUUGUGGAGACGCAUAAAUCUGUACUUCGAAAGCUCCUGAUCCCAUGGAAGGCUCUCAAAUGUCUGAUCAGCUGAACAGCACUGGUGAAUGCAACGGGAGAUGAAGGAUCAGGUUGGAGUGCACAGGAGAUAAGCCAAGGUGACAAAUACUUAUCCAAAGCUGCAAAGGAGGAAGUCAGUGAGGGCUGGGGCAGAUAUAGGAA